rnacentral:rRNA from 1 species
UACGUAGGGGCCUAGCGUUGUCCGGAAUUAUUGGGCGUAAAGAGCUCGUAGGCGGUUCGGCAAGUCGAAUGUGAAAUCUCCACGCUUAACGUGGAGGGGCCAUUCGAAACUGCUGUGACUCGAGUCCGGUAGGGGAGUGUGGAAUUCCCGGUGUAGCGGUGAAAUGCGCAGAUAUCGGGAGGAACACCAGUAGCGAAGGCGGCACUCUGGGCCGGUACUGACGCUGAGACGCGAAAGCGUGGGGAGCAAACAGG